AAUGAACGCUGGCGGCAGGCCUAACACAUGCAAGUCGAGCGGCAGCGCGGGGCAACCUGGCGGCGAGCGGCGAACGGGUGAGUAAUGCAUCGGAACAUGUCCAGUCGUGGGGGAUAGCCCGCCGAAAGGCGGAUUAAUACCGCAUACGCCCGGGAGGGGAAAGCGGGGGACCUGCAAGGGCCUCGCGCGAUUGGGUUGGCCGAUGUCCGAUUAGCUAGUUGGUGGGGUAAAGGCCCACCAAGGCGAUGAUCGGUAGCUGGUCUGAGAGGAUGAUCAGCCACACUGGGACUGAGACACGGCCCAGACUCCUACGGGAGGCAGCAGUGGGGAAUUUUGGACAAUGGGGGCAACCCUGAUCCAGCCAUUCCGCGUGAGUGAAGAAGGCCUUCGGGUUGUAAAGCUCUUUUGUCCGGAGCGAAACGGUUGUGGUGAAUAUCCACGACUACUGACGGUACCGGAAGAAUAAGCACCGGCUAACUACGUGCCAGCCGCCGCCGUAACAC
rnacentral:rRNA from 1 species